UUUUCUUUUUUUUUUUUUAGAUUAAUGUGGAAGAAGUAACUGAAGAAGGCUUGCAAGAAGUAAUCAAGGGAAUAUUUGGAUUCGGAGAAGGUGAAGGAGCUCUUGGAGGAGGUGGGGAUAAUCCUGGAAAAGGUGGUGGAUGGUGGAUUAGGAUAAUAGCACUUUUCAGCUUCUGCAAGAAUUUAUUCAUCAGAGGAUAUAGAGCAGUCGUAAAUGUUUGUAAAACGAUAGUUAGAAAUAUUACAAACAUCGUGAGUGAUUGCUUCAGCUGGAUAGAUUCCUUUUUUAGACGACUAAUGUGAUUUUGAGUUGAAGUAAUGAAAUUCCACCUGGAGGUUUCUAAAGAAUACUGGUGAACUGGUGUUUCUUGCAUGUAUUAACUUUAUUUAAAUGUGUAAUAUUAUAAAUAUAUAAUAUACAAAUAAAAUUUGUUAACAUAUUAGACUGUAAAAUUUACCUAGAUUGCAAAAGCUUUAAUGUUUUUAUUAAUUUUGUGCUUUUUAACUGAAGGAAAUUAUUGUAAUUUUUGCAUUAAAUAAUUCAAUCUGAGAUAA